UGGAUGUCAAGGGUACCCAGUAACCUCCAGAGUAGCUCAAGGUCCAUUUUUAGGAGAAUGUAGGGGAGUCAAGCUUCCAAGAGUGCAGACACGUCCAAGGGAGUCACUGCAUGGAGCAGCAGUGGCUUUCCUU
rnacentral:snRNA from 1 species